rnacentral:misc_RNA from 1 species
GGAAUUAUCGUUGGGAUAGUGGGAAUCAAGGGAAUGCUGGGCAAAGGAGGCAAAGUGACCAUUGGGAUGGUGGGGACAAUGGGCAAGCUAGGAAGAGGAGGCAGAGAAGUUUGAACAGUUGGCAAGGUUGGCAAGGUUGGCUGUGGGAGAGUAGGGCUGGCUGGCAUUGGUGGCAGUACAGGUGUUGGCAAGUUCGGCACUGAAGGCAAUGGAGACAAUUGCAAGAGAUGACGAGCUGCUAAGCCAACAUCCAUGCCUGAAAAUGACAAGGCAACAAAGAAGGCCAAAAUGAAGCAGUUGAAGUUCUCCAUAAUUAGAU